rnacentral:rRNA from 1 species
AUGCAAGAUCAGAUCGGCCUGGACCUGGACGGCUUCCCGCUCGACCACGAGUUCCCGGAGGACUACGACCUCGAGGAAGAUGAUGAGUUGGACAUCAACGGGGAGCCUUUGUUCGAGGACGAGCUCGCAAACCAAGUGGCCGAGGUGAAGCCGAAGCGCAAGAGCAAGCGAACGAAGGCAUACAUGCCGGCCGAUGACAAGCUCCUUUGUGAGUGUUGGAGGGACGUUGGGCAAGACCCCAAGGUUGGCGCCGAACAGAAGGCAUCAACCUUUUGGAUUCGUGUCCAUCAUGAGUUCCAUGAACGCAAGAAGUUUGCACCGUACCAAAUGCAUAGCACGCGCGGGUGGUUGUCCAUUUCUAAGCGAUGGAGAGUGAUAUAA